GCCUAACACAUGCAAGUCGNGGCGGUAACAGGAAAGCGCUUGCGCUUUUGCUGACGAGCGGCGGACGGGUGAGUAAUGUCUGGGGAUCUGCCCGAGGGCGGGGGAUAACCACUGGAAACGGUGGCUAAUACCGCAUAAUGUCGCAAGACCAAAGUGGGGGACCUGAAAGGGCCUCACGCCGUCGGAUGAACCCAGAUGGGAUUAGCUGGUAGGUAGGGUAAUGGCCUACCUAGGCGACGAUCCCUAGCUGGUCUGAGAGGAUGACCAGCCACACUGGGACUGAGACACGGCCCAGACUCCUACGGGAGGCAGCAGUGGGGAAUAUUGCACAAUGGGCGCAAGCCUGAUGCAGCCAUGCCGCGUGUAUGAAGAAGGCCUUCGGGUUGUAAAGUACUUUCAGCGGGGAGGAAGGCCAUGCCGCGUGUAUGAAGAAGGCCUUCGGGUUGUAAAGUACUUUCAGCGGGGAGGAAGGGUUGAGCCUGAACAGGGCUGGGCCUUGACGUUACCCGCAGAAGAAGCACCGGCUAACUCCGUGCCAGCAGCCGCGGUAAUACGGAGGGUGCGAGCGUUAAUCGGAAUGACUGGGCGUAAAGCGCACGCAGGCGGUCAAUUAAGUUAGAUGUGAAAUCCCCGGGCUCAACCUGGGAACGGCAUCUAAGACUGGUUGACUGGAGUCUCGUAGAGGGGGGUAGAAUUCCAUGUGUAGCGGUGAAAUGCGUAGAGAUGUGGAGGAAUACCGGUGGCGAAGGCGGCCCCCUGGACGAAGACUGACGCUCAGGUGCGAAAGCGUGGGGAGCAAACAGGAUUAGAUACCCUGGUAGUCCACGCUGUAAACGAUGUCGAUUUGGAGGUUGUGGCCCUGAGCUGUGGCUUCCGAAGCUAACGCGUUAAAUCGACCGCCUGGGGAGUACGGCCGCAAGGUUAAAACUCAAAUGAAUUGACGGGGGCCCGCACAAGCGGUGGAGCAUGUGGUUUAAUUCGAUGCAACGCGAAGAACCUUACCUACUCUUGACAUCCUCAGAAUUUGCUGGAGACAGCGAAGUGCCUUCGGGAACUGAGAGACAGGUGCUGCAUGGCUGUCGUCAGCUCGUGUUGUGAAAUGUUGGGUUAAGUCCCGCAACGAGCGCAACCCUUAUCCUUUGUUGCCAGCGCGUGAUGGUGGGAACUCAAAGGAGACUGCCGGUGAUAAACCGGAGGAAGGUGGGGAUGACGUCAAGUCAUCAUGGCCCUUACGAGUAGGGCUACACACGUGCUACAAUGGCGGAUACAAAGUGAAGCGACCUCGCGAGAGCAAGCGGAACACACAAAGUCUGUCGUAGUCCGGAUUGGAGUCUGCAACUCGACUCCAUGAAGUCGGAAUCGCUAGUAAUCGUAGAUCAGCAUGCUACGGUGAAUACGUUCCCGGGCCUUGUACACACCGCCCGUCACACCAUGGGAGUGGGUUGCAAAAGAAGUCGGUAGCUUAACCUUUUUGGAAGGGCGCCUAA
rnacentral:rRNA from 1 species